UACGAAGGGGGCUAGCGUUGCUCGGAAUCACUGGGCGUAAAGCGCACGUAGGCGGCUUCUUAAGUCAGGGGUGAAAUCCUGGAGCUCAACUCCAGAACUGCCUUUGAUACUGAGGAGCUUGAGUCCGGGAGAGGUGAGUGGAACUGCGAGUGUAGAGGUGAAAUUCGUAGAUAUUCGCAAGAACACCAGUGGCGAAGGCGGCUCCCUGGCCCGAUACUGACGCUGAGGUGCGAAAGCGUGGGGAUCAAACAGG
rnacentral:rRNA from 1 species